rnacentral:rRNA from 1 species
GUGGAUUAGAUACCCUGGUAGUCCACGCCGUAAACGAUGGGCACUAGGUGCUUGGGGGAGCGACCCCCUGAGUGCCGUCGCUAACGCAUGAAGUGCCCCGCCUGGGGAGUACGGCCGCAAGGCUGAAACUCAAAGGAAUUGACGGGGGCCCGCACAAGCGGUGGAGCAUGUGGUUCAAUUCGACGCAACGCGAAGAACCUUACCUGGGUUUGACAUGCAGGAGAAAGCUCGCAGAAACGUGAGCCCCUCUUCGGAGUUCCUGCACAGAUGCUGCAUGGCCGUCGUCAGCU